CACGUAGGGUGCGAGCGUUGUCCGGAAUUAUUGGGCGUAAAGAGCGCGCAGGCGGUCGUUCAAGUCGCGUGUGAAAGCCCCCGGCUCAACUGGGGAGGGUCACGCGAUACUGAUCGACUGGAAGGCAGGAGAGGGUAGUGGAAUUCCCGGUGUAGUGGUGAAAUGCGUAGAUAUCGGGAGGAACACCAGUGGCGAAGGCGACUACCUGGCCUGUUCCUGACGCUGAGGCGCGAAAGCUAGGGGAGCAAACGGG
rnacentral:rRNA from 1 species